rnacentral:rRNA from 1 species
CAGCAGCCGCGGGAAUACGUAGGGUGCAAGCGUUAAUCGGAAUUACUGGGCGUAAAGCGUGCGCAGGCGGUUCGGAAAGAAAGGUGUGAAAUCCCAGGGCUUAACCUUGGAACUGCACUUUUAACUACCGGGCUAGAGUGUGUCAGAGGGGGGUGGAAUUCCGCGUGUAGCAGUGAAAUGCGUAGAGAUGCGGAGGAACACCGAUGGCGGAGGCAGCCCCCUGGGAUAACACUGACGCUCAUGCACGAAAGCGUGGGGAGCAAACAGGAUUAGAUACCCCCGUAGUCCCUGUCUCUUAUAC